rnacentral:misc_RNA from 4 species
AACGCACAUUGCGCCCCUUGGUAUUCCAUGGGGCAUGCCUGUUCGAGCGUCAUCUACACCCUCAAGCUCUGCUUGGUGUUGGGCGUCUGUCCCGCCUCUGCGCGCGGACUCGCCCCAAAUUCAUUGGCAGCGGUCCUUGCCUCCUCUCGCGCAGCACAUUGCGCUUCUCGAGGUGCGCGGGCCGCGUCCACGAAGCAACAUUACCGUCUUUGACCUCGGAUCAGGUAGGGAUACCCGCUGAACUUAA